GUCUAUAUGAAGUUAAAUAAAGUCUAUUCUGCCCAUUGAAAUAAAUUUUUAAAAGGCCGCAGUAUCCUAACUGUGCAAAGGUAGCAUAAUCAUUAGUUUUUUAAUUGGAGGCUUGUAUGAACGAUUGGACAAGAGCUAAACUGUCUUUUUUCUAAGAAAGUUGAAUUUUAUUGUUAAGUGAAAAAGCUUAAAUGAAAAAGAGGGACGAUAAGACCCUAUAAAUCUUUAUCAGAAUUGAUUUUUUAAAAUAAAAUAUAUAAGUUAAGUAAAUUUAAAAAACUAAAUGAUUGUGCUGGGGCGGUGUAAAUGUUAAAAAAACUGUUUAAAAGAGAAACAAAUAUAAUUGAAAUUUAAAGAUCCUAAUUAUGGAAUAAAAGAGAAAGUUACUUUAGGGAUAACAGCAUAAUUUCUUUAGAGAGUUCUAAUCGAAAAAGAAGUUUGUGACCUCGAUGUUGAAUUAAGAAUUCCUUAUGGUGCAGCAGUUAUAAAGGAGAGUCUGUUCGACUUUUAAAUUCUU
rnacentral:rRNA from 1 species